UUGCUGGGCUUUAGUUUCCUUGGGCCUUAGAGGUUCGUUUGUUUUUUUUUUUUCAUAUUUGGGCUGCAGGUCUGGUUCUAUAAGCUUCCCCUUUUUUUUAAUGAAUCUACUGCUAGCUUUAGGAAAAAAAAUCAAUUAAGCCUAUUCCUGCAUACCAUAUAGUUAAGUGGUGUAUUACGUACCCAUAUCAUGUGAUUAAAAAUGUACGGCGUUCCAGAUAAUUUCGUGUGGAACGGAAGAGGAAAAACAUCUGUGUGCAAAAUCUUUUAAUCUGAAGAUGGGAGGGUUUUCUAAACGACGAUAAGUUAGAGAAAAGUCCAAGCGAUCAACAACCCUUUUCUUUCUAAUCCAUUGACUUUACAUUUAACAUAAUCUGCAAGUGAAGAUCUUCAGGAGUCUUUUUUCCUAAUCUAAGUAGGUCAUUUUUUUUAUAAGAGGCUUUGACUUUUUGCUACACAAAUGAGCAUUUAAUUGGUUAAUUACUGCCAUUUGGUCCUCUGCUUUUGAACUGCCAAUUGCCUUUGUCUCACGAUUGUGCAAAGUGAUGCCUCCAAAAUAUAUCAACCAAAGAAAAUCUCUCAGUAUCUAUAUUAAGGUUGCAUUUAUGAUGAGGGGGAAUUCUGGCAUUCCUUGUUGGAUGAAGGCGUGCUGCUAUUAUCCAAAGAGCCAGAGAUCAAGUUUAUACCUUUUGCUGUCCAGCAUUAGGUCUCCGC
rnacentral:misc_RNA from 1 species